AACGAACGCUGGCGGCAGGCUUAACACAUGCAAGUCGAAAGCCCCGCAAGGGGAGUGGCAGACGGGUGAGUAACACGUGGGAACGUGCCCUAAGGUUCGGAACAUUCCCGGGAAACUGGGAGCAAUACCGAAUGUGUCCGAGAGGAGAAAGAUUUAUCGCCUUAGGAUCGGCCCGCGUCGGAUUAGCUAGUUGGUGGGGUAAUGGCCUACCAAGGCGACGAUCCGUAGCUGGUCUGAGAGGACGACCAGCCACACUGGGACUGAGACACGGCCGAGACUCCUACGGGAGGCAGCAGUGGGGAAUCUUGGACAAUGGGCGCAAGCCUGAUCCAGCCAUGCCGCGUGGAUGAUGAAGGCCUUAGGGUUGUAAAAUCCUUUCGCCGAGGACGAUAAUGACGGUACUCGGAGAAGAAGCUCCGGCUAACUUCGUGCCAGCCGCCGCAGUAAUAC
rnacentral:rRNA from 1 species